CAAAAAACCUGACAGGGGAGAUACCAUGAUCAUGAAAGUAGUUUACCCAGGGGGAGGUUUAUCCAUUGUCCUCUGGAUGUGCUGAUGCCUGCGAUUUCCCCAAGUGUGGGAAACUCAACUACACAAUUUGUAGCAGUGGGGGAUUGCAUUCAUGCUUUCCCCUG